GCAACAGGAUAAACCCAGAGUGACUGAGCAGAAGAUAAAAUCUGUGUCCCCGAGGAAGGUACACAGGGGGAGGAGGCAGCUUUGCAAAAGAGAUGGACAGGAAAGGUCUCCUAAUUGAAGAGAUAAGCAUCUUGAGGAAGAGACAGGAGGCAGCCACAGCACCACCACCAACAGCAACUGUUGAUCAAGUGCCAUUGACCACUUCCUCAUCUGUAAAAUGAGCUGGAGAAGAAAAUGACAAAUCACUCCAAUAUCUUUGCCAAGAAAACCCCAAAUGGAGUCACCAAAGAAUCAGAUACGACUGCAGUGACUAAACAACAAAUUGCUCUCAUAUUAUCUUUCUUAAGUUCUUUGCGAGCAAGGAUUGUUUUCUGUGUCCUCAGAUCUUAACCACAACUUACAUCUU